AAUCUUUAUGUAGACUCAAGGAUUCAAACCCAGCUAUUACGUGUGCAGUGGCAAAAUUCUGUGUUGCUGCAAUGUCUACUAGAAAAAAAAAUGGUUACAGAAUUAUAGCUGUCAAUUUGUGACAAUUUUUGGAGAUAGAACAAAUUUUGGGAAAUGAUAUUUAUACACAUACUUAUUGGCUCUCCACUCAUAUA